AUGUUUCAGUAUCUAACGAUAAUACGUAUGAAAUUGUGAUUUACUUUGACUUGAUCUAAGUCCUAAUGUUAGACUAGUCUGUCCAUAUCGAAAUGCGAACGGUCAUUUUCCCUGUGGUACUGCAUUAUCUUGAAGUUGAAAACUUUUCCCUUCUACAUGCUUUAGGAAGAUGAAUGUCUAUUGACCUCUUUAAAAAUGUCUGUCUCAGUCUGACCACAGCCGUACGUUUUUUAAAUGUGAGUGACUACUUUUAUACUAAUUCCUUAUUAGAGAGUCAAUCUAUUGGGAUGUGGAUAGUCGAAAUACAGGACCUUUGAAUACAUCAAUAUUUUUUUUUUCAUUCUAAAUGUUUUAAACGUUACUCCUGAUUAUAACUUUCUUCUUGUCAAAACUCUAACUUCUUGGGGAAAAAAAGACUUCCAACUUUAUUCCAAAAAGAUAAAUGGAAAAAAAGACUACAUUUAUUCUGAAAAUGCAGCAUGUGAGUAUUGAAAAAGUAAUCUUUGAAAAGUACAGUGCAAUCUAUACAUAUAAAAAAGAUUAUUCUCAGAAAAUCUCUUUUUUCUGUAUUGGGUUUAUGAGUGUAGUUUUAAAUGCUGUGGUGACAGUCCCAGUAAAGCCAGAGAUGAGCGGAUGACUUCAGUGAUAAGGUGGACCAGGGAUGGGAGGCAAAGUUUUACAAGAACAGGAGGGAGACGAGGUUAUGUUCGCAAGUAGAGGGCUUGAAGAAAUUGAUGAUAUCUGACAUUUCAGGGGUAGAAGGUAGAGUAAAACUUGAAAGUGAGGGGGCAAGUGGAUGGAGUGAUGAUGGACCAAGGAAGAAAGAAGCUGAAGGUAGAUUUGGUUGAUUUUGCACUGAAAAAAAUGACAAGGGAAUUACAAAAAAACACAAGUACAAGUUGUAGCAAAUCAGUGGUGAUUCACAUUCAUUCAUGAUUCACCUGUGAAUCUGAAUAAGAGGUGAUCCAGAUUCAUCUGUGAAUCCCCGUGAGAAAACAAUACAGAAUAAGAACUUUUGCAUUUGAAUCAAAACGAGUCAAACAAUGCUCAGGUUGAAGAUUUAACACCGUGAUUCUUUUGCACAGCACUUGAGGGAGCCCCCGUACCUAAGUGAUACAUAUACAACAUUUUGAGAAUCAAUACUAUACAAUACAUGUUAGUGAGAAUUAGUGGUACAGGAAAUGGAUGAAUGGAUUGAUGGAUGGCGAUUUAAAGGCACCAUGGUGGUCCUUGUGUUUUGUUUUGCUUUUUUUGCUUUUUUUUUUUACCAAUGAUUUUACAAGAAUGUACCAAUUAGAAUGAGGACUUUUCAGCCUUGGUGCAGGUCACCUCUCUACCCAGUCCCGUGCUGUUUUAAAGUUUGCUGUGCGUCGUCGUCACAUGUCUGUCCAGCAUAAAAGGCCAUAAUGGAGGACAAGGUCAGCACAGAAUUAAAGAUUAAUCAUACAUUCCGUGCCAUUCUUGCUGAGUAUAUUGACCCUUUUGGAGGCAAACAUCCGGUCCUUGGCGGCGCCAGCGGCAUAGACCAAUAGCUCGUCCGGUUCGCUCUCGCUGUCGUCCAGCUCGGAGCCCAGCACGCGGCCGCUGUUCCCCGAAGCCACCCGGAACCUCACUCUCUUCUGGGGCUUGGUCUGACCCUCUGCCGCCGUCUCAUCCAUUUCUGCGCACCCCUCAGCUGGCUUUACAUCACGAUGCACAAUCUGGCUGGGCGGC